GUGCUUGCUUUAGCAGCACAUAUACUAAAAUUGGAAUGGUACAGAGAAGAUCAGUGUGGCCCCUGUGCAAGGAUGACAUGCAAAUUUGUGAAGUGUCCCAUAUUUUA
rnacentral:snRNA from 1 species